UACGAAGGGGGCUAGCGUUGCUCGGAAUCACUGGGCGUAAAGCGCACGUAGGCGGACUCUUAAGUCGGUGGUGAAAUCCUGGAGCUCAACUCCAGAACUGCCUUCGAUACUGGAAAGCUCGAGUCCGGGAGAGGUGAGUGGAACUGCGAGUGUAGAGGUGAAAUUCGUAGAUAUUCGCAAGAACACCAGUGGCGAAGGCGGCUCACUGGCCCGGUACUGACGCUGAGGUGCGAAAGCGUGGGGAGCAAACAGGG
rnacentral:rRNA from 1 species